CACGUAGGGCGCAAGCGUUGUUCCGGAAUUAUUGGGCGUAAAGGAGCUCGUAGGUGGUUUGCCACGUCCGACCGUGUGAAAUCCCAAGGCUUAACCUUGGGCUUGCAGUGGAUACGGGCAGACUAGAGGUAGGUAGGGGAGAAUGGAAUUCCCGGUGUAGCGGUGAAAUGCGCAGAUAUCGGGAGGAACACCGGUGGCGAAGGCGGUUCUCUGGGCCUUACCUGACACUGAGGAGCGAA
rnacentral:rRNA from 1 species